rnacentral:rRNA from 1 species
AUGGCUCAGGAUGAACGCUAGCGACAGGCCUAACACAUGCAAGUCGAGGGGCAGCGCGGGAGAAGCUUGCUUUCCUGGCGGCGACCGGCGCACGGGUGCGUAACAGGUGUGCAAUCUGUCCAUAGUCGGGGGAUAGCCCAGCGAAAGCUGAAUUAAUACUCCAUGUGAAUCGAAGCCGCAUGACUUUGAUUUGAAACGCAAGGACUAUGGGUGAGCACGCUUCUGAUUAGGUAGUUGGUGGGGUAACGGCCCACCAAGCCGACGAUCAGUAGGGGUUCUGAGAGGAAGGUCCCCCACAUUGGAACUGAGACACGGUCCAAACUCCUACGGGAGGCAGCAGUGAGGAAUAUUGGUCAAUGGGCGAGAGCCUGAACCAGCCAAGUCGCGUGAAGGAAUGAAGGUUCUAUGGAUUGUAAACUUCUUUUGUCCGAGGGUAAAAAAGGCUACGUGUAGCUUCUUGCAAGUAUCGGACGAAUAAGCAUCGGCUAACUCCGUGCCAGCAGCUGC